rnacentral:misc_RNA from 1 species
GAUGAAGAACGCAGCGAAACGCGAUAAGUAAUGUGAAUUGCAGAAUCCAGUGAAUCAUCGAAUCUUUGAACGCACAUUGCGCCCGCCAGCAUUCUGGCGGGCAUGCCUGUUCGAGCGUCAUUUCAACCCUCGACCUCCCCUUGGGGAGGUCGGCGUUGGGGACCGGCAGCACACCGCCGGCCCUGAAAUGGAGUGGCGGCCCGUCCGCGGCGACCUCUGCGCAGUAAUACAGCUCGCACCGGGACCCCGACGCGGCCACGCCGUAAAACACCCAACUUCUGAACGUUGACCUCGAAUCAGGUAGGACUACCCGCUGAACUUAAGCAUAUCAAAAGCGGAGGA